UCAGUCAGGUCGCAGCCUCUCUCGACGGAUGUUCAGAUGAUGUCUUGAUGUUAUCUGGCUCUGCUCUAAACGCCUUGAGGCACUUUUGGAAAGGAGACACGUUUCCACGCCUUGUAGGCGGGACACGAUGUAAAUGUCACCAUCUGCAAAUAAGGCAGGCCCUUCAUCCCCAUCAUCCCUCACACUCACACUGACAGCUUCCUCAAAUACAGCCUGCCACAGUAAGGAAGAUGCGACAUCAGGGUCUGUGUGUGUCUGAUUAGGUACAGUAAAUGAUUAGUGAUCUUUGACAGGGGGUAUAUUAGUGAGGUUUAAAAGCAUUCUGCAAUACAAAGGAUGUAUUAAUCAUGAUUAAGGAGUAUUUAAUCUAGAUCUAAUUUUUAUUUUCUUCCCGAGUGGUUUGUCCCUUAAAAGAAAAUCUAAAACUGAGAAUAUUACCAAAUCAAAAUUCAAUCAUGUGUGGCAAAAAUGCUUAAUAUUUAAUGAUCCAGAAAACAGUUACCGCACCCAUUUUACACAACAGAGCAUGGUUACAGGUCUUGUGGAGUACCACUGAAUACCUGGAAAAAGGAAACUGCAUGUGAAAUGAUUUGCCUCCAGUGAUGUCACCCACUGGCUAAGUUGCAUUUUGGGCAAUGUAGUCAAUUUUAAACAUUUGUUUUUUAAAUGGUCAAUCAUGAGUGUGUGUUAUAGCAGUGCAAUGCUCGACCAGUUUUCCAAAACCUGGUGCCUAUAUUUCCCACAAUGCAACAUAGUCACUGGAUGCAUCAGUGGAGGCUAUUUGUCGUUUAAAUGUGGCUUCCUCUGGAGCAGCAGGAGCAUUUAUACUACUUUUUUCAUAUGUGAAGGAGUAAACAAACUGAAAUGUGUCAACUGGUGAAGUUGCCCUUUAAAUGUUUACUGUAUGGUCACAUGCCUAGUGCCUCCUCACCACUAGGUGGCCCGACAAAGGGGGGCAUAUUCAAAUAAUUACAUUAAAUAAUGUUUAAAAUACAUGAUAAAAUAUUUUAAUAUAAAAACCUAAUUGGAAUCUCUAAUAUUAACAUUUACCAGAUAAAAAGUCAGAAGAAAUCAUCUGUAAAUGGAAGCUUAUCAUUCAAAUAUCUAAAUCUGAGAAUGUAAAGAGGCAUAUUAAUCUAAAACUGAUAUAAAUGAAAUCCAAAACCUAUAGCAAAUUCAAUUUUAAACACCAAAGUAUAUACAGUGUAUCAAAAGAUAAGCUUGACAAAUAUAGCUAAAUGAAUUUGAGCAGCAAACGCUUUUAUACUAGUUGAGUGUGUAAAAGUGGUGGAGUUACCCUUUAAUAAUUUAUCCCUCUGACCCAAAGCAACCUCUUUUGCCUAAAGUUUUCUAUAUUGUGUAUCAAGUCUCCCUUACAAUAAAGUCAAUAAAUGGCUCUAUGUUCUGCACGACACAAGCAACAAGUGAACUAUCAUUGCAAUCACGGCACAAUACAUUUUUAUUGAGCACAGAAACCAUGUGUACAGGAAAAAUAUCCACAGCCUCAACUGAGUAGGUAACACUGGCUCACCUCAUGAGAUGGCUGCUGGUGAAGGGGCAAGCAGAUGACUGCACUUAAACUCAACGUAUUUAGCUCCAUGUUACAUCUCAUGCAUGACAUCAAAAAUAGUAUUUCUGACACAAUAGUUUCAUCAACAAACACAGACAUACCCAAUCUCAAAUGUUUCGACAGGCACAGACAGAGUUCACCUGUAGCUCUGGAAAGUUAAAGUUUAGAAUCAGAUUACAUUAGCUAUAUAAAAAUGAAAAAAAAGAAAAAACAACUCAUCUUAUAUCAAGAUCUACGGGAUGCAUUUUUAAGUCAAUGACACACUCUGCAGUUUAUUCAUGAUUAAAGUGUACCAAUCACCUCAGGCCACACGCGCUGUGGGGCUGCAUUAAUAAAAACUCACUAAUUUAAAAAAAUAAUGAUAAUUGUGUGGUAUUUCAGAACUAUAAGCUCUUUUACAGAUUUUAGAUCAGUGACUCUUCAGAUAUUUCCCUUUUUCAAAAUGUGAGAGAUCACAUCACUUUUCUCAUUCAUAGAAAAACAAAACAGCUGACAUAAAGUUUCAGAAAAAUAGGGAAAGCUGAGGGUGACAAUAUAUCAUUUGACAUUAUCUAUGAUGUUGAUUUACUGACAUGUACACCUCACUGCAUCAGAGACACACAGGCAAACUGACAUCAACUGAAAGCAUUCACAGCUGUUUCAGGUUUAUAACACAUACCAUACAUGAGCACACCUGCAGAGGUUCAGCAACACAAAUCAGCCAGGAGUGAUCUUUUUUUGUUGUUCUUUUUACAUUGUCACUGAGAACACACCAACACCGCAGACCCAUCUUUGUUGCUUCACUUUAAGACACUUCUUUCAGCAAAGACAAAAUGAGCCACAGCAAACUGAGCCUGCUGUAAGAAACAUCUACAUCAAAACAAUGCUGAAAGGUCAAGAUAAAAAUGCAUGUUCACAACUGAGAAAUUGGCAGUAAACUAAAGGUUUCUUAGAGGUAGGAAAUGGGCAAGUUUUAAAGUUUAUCCUUCACACGUUAAAAUCAGUGACAGCAAAUUAUUAUUUUUACCAACAUGAGGCCCACUGAGUCAGCCUAUACAAGUACAGCAACACUUAACA